UUCCUUCACUAUGCACAUAAU
rnacentral:piRNA from 1 species